UCUCGGUUCUAUUUUGUUGGUUUCUAGAAUUGAGAUAAUGAUUAAUAGGGACAAUUGGGGGCAUUCGUAUCAACACGUCAGAGGUGGAAUUCUUGGAUUGUGUUGCGACGAACUACUGCGAAAGCAUUUGCCAAGGAUGUUUUCAUUGAUCAAGAACGAAAGUAAGGGGAUCGAAGACGAUUAGAUACCGUCGUAGUCUUUACCAUAAACUAUGCCAACUAGAGAUGGGACAUCGUUCACUUACGACUUGUUCCGCACCUUAUGAGAUAUCAAAGUUUUUGGGUUCCGGGGGGAGUAUGGUCGCAAGUCUGAAACUUAAAGGAAUUAACGGAAGGGCACCACCAGGAGUGGAGCCUGCGGCUUAAUUUGACUCAACACGGGGAAACUCACCAGGUCCAGACAUAAUAAGGAUUGACAGAUUGAUAGCUCUUUCUUGAUUUUAUGGGUGGUGGUGCAUGGCCGUUCUUAGUUCGUGGAGUGAUUUGUCUGCUUAAUUGCGUUAACGAACGAGACCUUAACCUGCUAAAUAGAAGCGCCUAUCCCCGGAUAAGCGCCUUUCUUCUUAGAGGGACUUUACGUGUUUCAACGUGAGGAAGUUUGAGGCUAAAACAGGUCUGUGAUGCCCUUAGAUGUUCUGGGCUGCACGCGCGCUACACUGAUGCGUUCAACGAGUGUACAACCUUGCCCGAUAGGGUUGGGUAACCUUCUGAACACGCAUCGUGAUGGGGAUAGAUUAUUGCAAUUA
rnacentral:rRNA from 1 species